UCCUGGGGACUGUUUUAUCUGAAGCCAGGCACUCCAGACGACAACACAGUCUUUAGUGGUGAAACAGAAAGCGGCUCCAGCAGCAAGCAACACACCCAGCGUUCCAGCGAGCUGUGUGAAGCGCUAACAAGAGGCUGGCCUGGCAUCCUGGCCAGAGGGACUGCAGAGGCAGCCCAGGCCAGGACGGUGCCCUGCACCACCUCCAUCAGAACCCCCAGAGCUUGCUCAACAGCAGACCGACACCCAGGCGGCACCCCAGACCUUCAGAAUCUCCUAAAGAGAUCCUGAGGCCCAGAUUUACCUGAGGACACACAGCAAGCUAGUGAUGGCCAGGACUAACCCUGCUCUGCUGCCUUUAACCAAUAUUUAAAGUCAGGCCAUAUACAUCCCAAUGGCCCCAAGCCCAUGAGUCCUGAAGACACUUUACCGCUUUUCAGCACCUCUUAGGUGAAAUUUCCAACUGCCCAGAAGCUGCCUGGUGGAUGCCUGCUACCCAUCUGAAGUUCACCUAAAGGAUUUACGAGUUUCUGCCCUACAAGUUUGAUGCAAAGUUCAUGCUGAGAGGCACCUUAGGAAACACGAAGCACGGUGUGUGCAUGUGUGUUCUAAAUAGUAGAGUUUCCAGGAGGGCUUCCAUCAGCACCGAGUGUUUACGAGAGACUGCCACAGCGGUGUGGUAGACAUACCUGCUCCUGCUGCCAACACGAUUUGCUAGUGUAAUUAACAUUCAGGCUGAAACUGGAGAAGGCAGUUCAACUCACAAAGACUAUUUUUAGAGACCUCUUAAUGGAAAACUCUGUUCCUUUCAAACCACACAGCUUUCUGUAAUUAGAAGAGAGACUAUUAUUCAAGUCAGAUUUUACUUUUUCUCACAUUUCUGUGCUUUAUGCAAUGUUAUCCUAAAACUGCAUUUACUUGGGGAGGACAACACACAGAGAAGCGGCAUCGCUGGGCGGGGCCCUCGCAGCGUCCUUACCCACCCUCCCGCAGCACAGGGAGGAUGUGGUCACCAGCACAAUCCCCCACCCCCACCCCAAGUCCCACCCUGACCCUACUGGGGAUCACUUAGGUGACACGGCACCAUCCUGUGCAUUUUUCUCUUAGAAACUGGCUACAGGUUCCCCAAAAGCUCUGACAUUUCUGGGGGAUAGUUUAAAAUGUGUCUUCUAUCAUUCCCAUUACAGAAACAUAGAUGCCCCCCCUCCCACAAGUUCAUUCAUGUGCCCAUCAAAUAGCAUCUCCUUGGUGCCAAGAAAGGGACUGGACCCCGCAAGGCGCCCACCCAGAUGUACACUGAAGGCACCAUCCCUGCCUUCAUGGAGCUUAUUUUCUAGUGUGGGGACUAGGGGGAUUGUGCUAAACCAGGCAAUACAUCAGCAAAACAUACAGAGCUUUUGAUAAACAUUUUAAAAAGAAAAAAGGAAGAGAGGGGAAGCAGGAGGAAGGAAGGGAGGGGGAGGAAAGGAAAAGGGGAAGAAGGAAAUGAAAGAAGUGAGAAAGGAAGGGAGGAAGCAAGGACUCAAUAGGAGACUUUAAACAGGGGAGAGAUGUGACAAGGACCAUAUUCAGGAUUGGGUAGAAAGUGGGGAUGCUGGUAGACCAGUCUGGGGCUUGUGCAGGGGAGGGAUAGUGGUGACUUGGGAUGGGACAGGGACUGUGGAGAAGGGAAGAAGGGGACAGAUUCAAGUCCACUGUUAGGGGUAGCACCAGUAGGACGUCCUGGAGUGGCCGCAGGUGGGAAGGAGAGAGGAGGAAAGGAUGGGGUGGGGGCUUGUGCAGGGGACUUCUGCUGGAGAAAGACUAGGAAGUGAGAACACUUAGAUUCCAAAGGCUACAGCUUGAGCAGCAGCUAUUGACAAGAGACUCUCUGCUAAGGCCAAAUGCAGAAACCAUCCUGUUUGCAGAUAAGCCAGAUCACCUGCAAGUUUCUUCAUUCGAUCACUCAAUCAGAAAAUACUGGCUGAGCUCAUGCCAGAGCCAGACCCCGGGCAGGUUCUGGGAAGUCGGCCACAAGGACUCAAUCUGCAGCCUAGUAGGGAGACAGACAUGCAGAUGAGGACCACCCUCCCAGGAGGUCAAGGCUACCAUGGAGGGCUCGGGGCAAGGAGACAGGUGUGGGGAGAGGGGCCACCUGGUCCAUCUGCUUGGGGUACCAGGAAUGGCUGCACAGGGACCAGACAACUGAGCAGAGUUCUCCAGAACAGCUGGAGGUGGGCAGGAUCUAUCCAUGUGUUCAAGUUCACUGCAGCUUUAAACAGCCAUGAGGUUUUUAAUGGCAGAAGGGCACUGGAGACCUUCUGCAGUGAAGAAAAUAUUCCAUAUCAUGGUUCAGGUACACAUUAUACAUUUGUUAAAUGUACAAUCUAUAAAUCAGCAGUGUACAAUCAACAAACUGUACACUUUACAUCUAAUUCACUCUAUGUAAAUUUUGCUAACAGUACCUUAUAUCUUCAAUUAAAAAAAAAGAUUUAAAGCUG